rnacentral:tRNA from 1 species
AUCCUAAUGGCCGAGCCUUAGGCACCGAGCUUUUAACUCGACCACAGUAAUUAAUACUUCAGGAUA